UACAGCGAUUUCUCGAAAAUCUUUGAUCCUCAGUAUCAAAGGAACAAGCUGCUUUAAGGUAGUACUCCGGAUACAUCAUGAGGCAAGCUAAAGUACUGAUGACUUUGAUUAGUGCGGUAGUUAAAUCUUUCGGUGCACGGCUUGGGAAACGCGCCUAAAAAAAGAAAUACCGAAACCAUUAUAUUUUUAAGCGAAAGGAACUUCCCAUAAAAAUUUAUGAUUUAAUUAUGUUUUUCUUGCUUUUUCCCGACGAAUACUGAGAGAUAAAAAUUUUCAUACGAAAGAAAAAUGACAAACUUCAAUAUUUCUCCCAAUUAUUGAAUUGGGCAUCAGCUCAUAUAGACACCAUAAACCCUUCAAAAGGAAACAAAGUAUCUAACCUCAAAGUAUUCAACUCCAGUAAUCCUGUACAGCUG